AGGGCCCCAAAUAUGCAGGAGGAUGUGGAGGAAGCUCCCAGUGAGAAAUUACUUGCAAGGAAUUAAAAUUCCACCUGAGGUCUUACCUGUAAGAGCCUGUCAUAGGGCUUUAAGCCACCAAGAUCUCCUGGCCCAGCUGGGCGAAUAUUUUUGACAUACACUCCUUUCUCCAGUAAGCCAUCUGCUACACUGAACCCAAAGUCCUCCAUGUCAGAGUCCUUGUACAAGGUCACCUGAAGAGAGAGAAAAUGAGAUGUGAAUAUUUAGCUGGGGUGGAGACUUUUCCUUCUGCAACUUCUUGAUAAACAAUCUUUUCACACGAAUUUAGUCACAUCAUGAUUUGCAAUAUCAGCAUCAGUCAGCUCCCUGCACCAAUCCUGCAGCUUUUUUUUUCCCACUCCAAGAAUAUCUUUGGACUUUAUGAAUUCCCAACCAAAGCUGAAAAAGGAGGAGAACUGGAACGUCUGGGUCCUCCCUCCCUCCUUUGCAGUCGUCAUCAGGGGGAUAUAGGAGAGAACUUCCUCAAGGCAAGUUGACUUCUACUAUUUUCCUGGGGCAACCCCUGGUCAGAGGAGCUGCCCGCAGCAGCCCUUUACAACUGCUGAGAUGUUGGGGAAUAAGCCAAAGGCCUUUCCUUCCUCCCCACUCCUGCCUGGUGCUCUGCUAAGCACAGUGCUCGGCGUAUCCUCUCUUUGGGCAAGUACCAUGAAGUUCAUCCUUUUAUUUGCUCUGGAACCCCCAAUGAGCACCAUCACGGAACACUAUGUAAAAGACCUGAAUGUGUUUCUAUGACAACACCUUGCUCCGCACCUCGGCUUAACUCGCUCCCUCAGCAUUUGUCUAGGGUUUGAUUUGGUAACUGAAGGCAUCUACCCUGAGUGCUGCGGCCUGCCCCCCACCCCGGGUCUCUCUGCAUCUAAGGCCAACCACAGCUGGCUAAAGCCUCACUCCCCCACCAGCCCUCACUCCUUCACCUGACCACCUGCGAGUGUUCAUCUGAGGCUAAAAUAAUCAUUUGUAUAUUCAUCAAAUAUUUACUGAGUUCCUACCAUAUUGUAAGCACAGCAUGGGGUGCUAGAAACAGCAGUGAACAAGAGGAAGAAAAGCCUGCCUUCCAGAGGCACACACAUGAAUAUGUAGCAGUCCCCAAGCUUUCACCGCACUGGGCACUGCGCCCAGCAGCACACUCAGCGCUUGAUGCUCAGUUAACGUUUGAGGGGGCCACGGGUUUUACCAAGUUGUGCCAGAUGCCCUCCACAAAGACUUCAAGCAAUGAAAUUGCUGAUGCCUGAUAUUACAAAGAGGCUGGGACAAGGAAAGAGCUCUGUACCCCAUCUGAGAGAGAGGAAGAGACAUGCCCUGGGCUAGAGUGUUACCAAUUUAAUCUUUUUUUUUUUUUUUUUUAAUGAGACGGAGUUUCACUCUUGUUGCCCAAACUGGAGUGCAGUGGUGUGAUCUCAGCUCACCACAAUGUCCGCCUCCUGGGUUCAAGUGAUUCUCCUGCCUCUGCUUCCUGAGUAGCUGGGAUUACGGGCCUGCACCACCAUGCCUGGUUAAUUUUGUAUUUUUAGUAGAGAUGGGGUUUCUCCAUGUUGGUCAGGCUGGUCUCCAACUCCUAACCUCAAAUGAUCCACCCACCUUGGCCUCCCAAAAUGCUGGGAUUACAGGCGCGAGUCACCGCGCCCAGCCUUCAAUUUAAUCUUUACUAUAGCCUUGCCUGACAAGUCAUAUGGCAGAACAACAGUGGAGGAGGAGGACGAUAGGACUGUUCUCCAAGAAUCUGGACAUGAGGGAAAUGGAGUGACCUUCAGAAAGUACACCAUUUUGUCAGGGAUGACAACUGGCUUUUCAGCUUCAGGAAUGAAUAUGGACAACUUGAAGGAAGGCUUGCCAAGAUCCCAGUGGAGCCUCAGAUGCAGCAGAUGAUGAGAAGGUUACUGACUUCCUACCCACAUCUGAAGGCAGGGUGUUGCUCCGAGUUGUUUGGCUGUAGUGCGGCCGCGAGCUGCUGCGCUCCUGGAAGCUGGCCUGUCGCCCCAGCUGACUGCGAGGUGUUGGAGCCUCAUGAUUCAAACUCAUCGUGCUCCCCGACAUGAUUGUUGCCUGUGGCAUUGACAAUUUUUAGAAACAAUUAAGCCAUGGACUAAGGAAAGGGUUUGGUGCUCAACAGUAAGCACAUUUCUCCUUCUGCGAGGUAAAAAUACAGUCUCUUCAGGGCAAAACCAAAGGCUGGAAAAUGGAUGUACUAAUUGAACUAUGAAAGUCUGGAAAAUGCUUUGCAAGUGACAUUUAUAAUGCACAUCUCAAAUCCAAUUUAAGUACUUAAGCCAUUGAGUUUAUUUAAUCAAAUACCACCCCUGGCAGUUUUGAGGCAAAUUGAAAUGCUCUAACAUUUGCUUACUGUAAACUACAUUUUAAGCAUUCACUUUCCACUGAGUGGGCUCUAACAGAUGGGAUUCAUGAGGCCACCUUGAAUAUAUCUUACAGAAACGAAUUAAGAACUUCUCAAUGGACACCAGGCUGCCUGUACUUGCAAUGCUGCCUCUAUCUCCAACUGCAGUUAACAAUGGGCUGGAAAGCGAUGACUGAUAUAAAGAUAACUGCAGAAGUGUGGUUAGCCAUCUGGGAAGAAGUCUUAUGAAUGCAGUUUUCUGUCAAAAGUGUUGACUUAAGGAAACACAGAUGUGUCUUCUCUUGAAGGGGAACUAAGUAGCUGUGAAUUUCAUCCUGGCUCCCUCUGAUGGACUAACCAUUUUCCCCUUCUGAACCAAUCAAACCAACCCCAAAUACAUGAAGUCUCAGCUUUUAUAAUACAAAGAGUUUGGGGAAGCCUGUACCUCACUUUCUUUAACUGGUUUCAACCCUCAACCUUUCAAAGAGCCAAUACUAAUUGGUGGUGUCUUCCUGGAGUAUCCUUUUCUGAUAAACAUUAACUCCAAUGACCACUGAGUUCCCUGGUGAAAUUUCAACAUUUUAGACUGAUUUUCUUUCCAACUGUUGUAUGUACAAUAAGUAGUUCUUGGAGACUUAGGCAAGAGUGCAAGAAUGGGCUUGAGCAGAUGUGCACCACCAUCAGUAGGAAACUGCUAACCUUGAAAGGCAUGUGUAUCUCUAAUAAGGAUGCCUUGUCUUAAUAAGCACUAUUAAAUGAUUAUUGCAUUACAACAAAGCAGAGAAAGAAAAGGGGAUAAGAUUCAAAUCUCUGGGUGAAAUGUAAAGUCAGAAAACCUGACCCCAGCUCUUCUCUAGUCUGUGCUAUGCUGACCCAGAGAUUAAAGUAAGAAAAGUUGACCAGGUGCGGUGGCUCACGCCUAGCACUUUGGGAAGCCAAGACAGGCAGAUCGCUUGAGCUUAGGAGUUUGAGACCAGCCUGGGCAAUAAUCCAUCUCUACAAAGAAAAAAAGACAAAUCCCAAACCCCCCAAAAUUAGCUGGGCAUGGUGGCGCGUGCCAGCUACUUGGGGGGCUGAGGCAAGAAGAUUGCUUAAGUCUGGUUGUUGAGGCUGCAGUGAGCCAAGUUUGCACCACUGCACUCCAGUCUGGGUGACAAAGUGAGAUCCUAUCUCCAAAAAAGAAAAGUAAAUGGGCAUGGUUAUGCAUACCUGUAUACCAGCUACUUGAGAGGCUGAGAUAAGAGGAUCCCUUGAGCCCAGGGGUUCGAGACCAGUCUGAGCAACAUAAAAAGACCCUGUCUC